rnacentral:rRNA from 1 species
UAGGGAAUCUUCCGCAAUGGACGAAAGUCUGACGGAGCAACGCCGCGUGAACGAAGAAGGCCUUCGGGUCGUAAAGUUCUGUUGUUAGGGAAGAACAAGUACCAGAGUAACUGCUGGUACCUUGACGGUACCUAACCGGAAAGCCACGGCUAACUACGUG